rnacentral:rRNA from 1 species
CAUAGACGCGAAACCUAGUGAUCUAGGCCUGUCCAGGCUGAAGCUGAGGUAAGACUCAGUGGAGGGCCGAACUCACCGCCGUUGAAAAGUUGGGAGAUGAGAUAGGUCUAGGGGUGAAAAGCCAAUCGAACUAGGAGAUAGCUCGUUCUCUCCGAAAUGCAUUUAGGUGCAGCCUUGGCAUGAAGAUAUGCGGGGGUAGAGCUCUGUAUGGUCUAGGGGGCGUACUGCUUACCGAAAUCAAGCAAACUGCGAAUACCGCAUAUUAAUAGCCAGGAGUGAGUCCGUGGAUGACAAGGUCCUCGGACGAGAGGGGAACAGCCCAGACCGCCAGCUAAGGUCCCUAAUUAUGUCUAAGUGGGAAAGGAGGUGGAUAUUCACAGACAACCAGGAGGUUGGCUUAGAAGCAGCCAUGCCUUGAAAGAGUGCGUAAUAGCUCACUGGUCGAGAGUAUCUGCGCCGAAGAUGUAACGGGGCUAAGACAUAAACCGAAGCUGCGGAGGCGUGCUUGCACGCCUGGUAGGAGAGCGUUCUGUAGGCCGUUGAAGGAAUGCCGCAAGGCCAUUCUGGAGGUAUCAGAAGUGAGAAUGCAGGAAUGAGUAGCGAGAAGGCGGGCGAGAAUCCCGCCGGCCGGAAGUCCAAGGUUUCCAGGGGAAGGUUUGUCCGCCCUGGGGGAGUCGGGACCUAAGCAUAAGCAAAAAUGUGAUGGCGAAUGGAAAACAGGUUAAUAUUCCUGUACCGCUGUUAUCGCCUGAGAGACGGAGUGACGCAGGAAGGUAUGCGGGAAGGCUGACGGAAUAGCCUUUCUAAGGGCGUAGCAUGGGCAUGCAGGAAAAUCCGCAUGCCUAAAUGUGAGACCUGACGGGUAAGUGCAUCUUGCAUAAGCCGCAGAUCCUACACUGCCGAGAAAAACUUCUAUCGAUGAGAACCAGCGCCCGUACUGUAAACCGACACAGGUGGACAGAGUGAGAAACUUAAGGCCGACAGGAUAACUCUAGCUAAGGAACUCUGCAAAAUAGCCCCGUAACUUCGGGAGAAGGGGUGCCUGACAUACCUGAGAGGAGAAACACCUCAAGGGGAAACAGGCCGCAGUGAAGAGUCCCAAGCAACUGUUUACCAAAAACACAGGUCUAUGCUAAGCUGAAAGGCGACGUAUAUGGGCUGACACCUGCCCAGUGCCGGAAGGUUAAGAGGAGGAGUGAGAGCUCCGAAUUGAAGCCCCGGUGAACGGCGGCCGUAACUAUAACGGUCCUAAGGUAGCGAAAUUCCUUGUCGGGUAAGUUCCGACCUGCACGAAUGGUGAAAUGAUUUGGGAGCUGUCUUGGCUGGAGACCUGGUGAAGUUGUAAUGCCGGUGAAGAUACCGGCUACCUGCAGUAGGACGGAAAGACCCCGUGGAGCUU